rnacentral:rRNA from 1 species
CGCAAUGGGCGAAAGCCUGACGGAGCGACGCCGCGUGAUCGAUGAAGUCUUUCGGGAUGUAAAGAUUUUUUAUGAGGGAGAAAGUUUAUUGAUGUUACCUCAUGAAUAAGGGGUUGCUGAACUCGUGCCAGCAGCAGCGGUAAUACGAGUGCCCCAAGCGUUAUCCGGAAUCACUGGGUGUAAAAGGUGUGUAGGUGGCUGUGUUAGUCUCUUGUUAAACCUCUUGGCUCAACCAAGAAUUUGCGAGAGAUACGGCACAACUAGAGGGCGCGAGAGGUGAGUGGAACUUAUGGAGUAGGGGUGAAAUCCGUUGAUACCAUAGGGAACACCGAAUGCGUAGGCAACUCACUGGUGCGUUCCUGACACUGAGACACGAAAGCGU